UAGGGAAUCUUCGGCAAUGGGGGCGAACCCUGACCGAGCAACGCCGCGUGAGUGAAGAAGGUUUUCGGUAUCGUAAAGCUCUGUUGUAAGAGAAGAACGUGUGUGAGAGUGGAAAGUUCACACAGUGACGGUAACUUACCAGAAAGGGACGGCUAACUACGUGCCAG
rnacentral:rRNA from 1 species